rnacentral:rRNA from 1 species
CGCCCGCGCGCGCGGCGGGCUACGGGAGGCAGCAGUGGGGAAUAUUGCACAAUGGGCGCAAGCCUGAUGCAGCCAUGCCGCGUGUAUGAAGAAGGCCUUCGGGUUGUAAAGUACUUUCAGCGGGGAGGAAGGUGUUGUGGUUAAUAACCGCAGCGAUUGACGUUACCCGCAGAAGAAGCACCGGCUAACUCCGUGCCAGCAGCCGCGGUAAUA